rnacentral:rRNA from 1 species
UACGUAGGGCGCAAGCGUUAUCCGGAAUUAUUGGGCGUAAAGAGCUCGUAGGCGGUUUGUCGCGUCUGCCGUGAAAGUCCGGGGCUCAACUCCGGAUACUGCGGUGGGUACGGGCAGACUAGAGUGAUGUAGGGGAGACUGGAAUUCCUGGUGUAGCGGUGAAAUGCGCAGAUAUCAGGAGGAACACCGAUGGCGAAGGCAGGUCUCUGGGCAUUAACUGACGCUGAGGAGCGAAAGCAUGGGGAGCGAACAGG